rnacentral:rRNA from 1 species
AUUGAACGCUGGCGGCAGGCCUAACACAUGCAAGUCGAACGAGUGGCGGACGGGUGAGUAAUGUCUGGGAAACUGCCUGAUGGAGGGGGAUAACUACUGGAAACGAUAGCUAAUACCGCAUACCAUCGGAUGUGCCCAGAUGGGGUUAGCUUGUAGGGGGGGUAACGGCUCACCUAGGCGACGAUCCCUAGCUGGUCUGAGAGGAUGACCAGCCAACCCGGAACUGAGACACGGUCCAGACUCCUACGGGAGGCAGCAUUGGGGAAUAUUGCACAAUGGGCGCAAGCCUGAUGCAGCCAUGCCGCGUGUAUGAAGAAGGCCUUUGGGUUGGAAAGGACUUUCAGCGGGGAGGCGUUACCCGCAGAAGAAGCACCGGCUAACUCCGUGCCAGCAGGCGCGGUAAUAC